rnacentral:rRNA from 1 species
AGCGAACGUUAGCGGCGCGCCUAACACAUGCAAGUCGCACGGAGUAGCAAUACUCAGUGGCGCACGGGUGCGUAACACGUAGAUACCUGCCCUGAAGAGGGGGAUAACGCUCCGAAAGGAGCGCUAAUACCGCAUAACGCUGAGACGGGUUCGCCUGUUUCGGACAAAGGCUGGGACCAGCAAUGGCCAGUCGCUUUAGGAGGGGUCUGCGGCCCAUCAGCUAGUUGGUAAGGUAAUGGCUUACCAAGGCAAAGACGGGUAGCUGGUCUGAGAGGAUGAUCAGCCACACUGGUACUGGAACACGGACCAGACUCCUACGGGAGGCAGCAGUGGGGAAUCUUGGUCAAUGGGCGCAAGCCUGAACCAGCGACGCCGCGUGAGUGAUGAAGGCCUUCGGGUUGUAAAGCUCUGUGGGGAGGGACGAAAGACUGAGGUCUAAUAGGCUUCAGGUUGACGGUACCUCCUUAGCAAGCACCGGCUAACUCUGUGCCAGCAGCCGCUGUAA